UACGUAGGGUGCGAGCGUUAAUCGGAAUUACUGGGCGUAAAGCGUGCGCAGGCGGUUUUGUAAGCCAGAUGUGAAAUCCCCGGGCUUAACCUGGGAAUGGCAUUUGGGACUGCAAGGCUCGAGUGCGGCAGAGGAGACUGGAAUUCCUGGUGUAGCAGUGAAAUGCGUAGAGAUGUGGAGGAACACCGAUGGCGAAGGCAGCCCCCUGGGCCGACACUGACGCUCAUGCACGAAAGCGUGGGGAGCAAACAGG
rnacentral:rRNA from 1 species